rnacentral:rRNA from 1 species
CCUACGGGAGACAGCAGUGGGGAAUAUUGCGCAAUGGGCGAAAGCCUGACGCAGCGACGCCGCGUGAGGGAUGAAGGUCUUCGGAUCGUAAACCUCUGUCAGCAGGGAAGAACGGUCACUGUGCUAAUCAGCAGUGAAUUGACGGUACCUGCAAAGGAAGCACCGGCUAACUCCGUGCCAGCAGCCGCGGUAAUACGGAGGGUGCGAGCGUUAAUCGGAAUUACUGGGCGUAAAGCGCUCGUAGGGGGUAUGUCAAGUCAAGGGUGAAACCCCCGCGCGCAACGUGGGAACUGCCUUUGAAACGAGGAAACUGGAGUGUGAGAGAGGAGAGGGGAAUGCCAGGUGUAGGAGUGA